GCCCGAGUGGUGAAAUUGGCAAACGCGCACGACUCAAAAUCGUGUGGGAGCAAUCCCUUGAGGGUUCAAUUACCUCCUCGGGCA
rnacentral:tRNA from 1 species